AUGCGAUUUUUGCUCCUUUUAAUGUUCACUAUGGCGGCUCUGGAAGGUGUCCGGUGCCAGGUGCAGCUGGUGGAGUCCGGAGGGGAUGUGAAAAAGCCCGGAGACUCUCUCCGCCUCUCCUGCAAAGCCUCCGGGUUCAGCUUCAGCAGCUACACUAUGUACUGGGUCCGACAGGCUCCCGGGAAGAGGCUGGAGUGGGUUUCACACAUUUACGGUGAUGGGAGCCAACAAUUUUAUGCAGACUCAGUGAAAGGGCGAUUCACCAUCUCCAGGGACAAUCCCAACAGCCUGCUGUAUCUGCAAAUGACCGGCCUGAAGCCCGAGGACACCGCCCGGUAUCACUGUGCCAGACACACAACCUCAACAGCAUCAGACAGAAUGGGGAGAUAA